rnacentral:rRNA from 1 species
GAUGAACGCUGGCGGCGUGCUUAACACAUGCAAGUCGAACGGUGAACGAGGGAGCUUGCUCCCUCCGGAUCAGUGGCGAACGGGUGAGUAACACGUGAGCAAUCUGCCCCGAACUCUGGGAUAAGCGUUGGAAACGACGUCUAAUACCGGACACGACGCGCGAAGGCAUCUUCUGCGCGUGGAAAGAAUUUCGGUUCGGGAUGAGCUCGCGGCCUAUCAGCUAGUUGGUGAGGUAAAGGCUCACCAAGGCGACGACGGGUAGCCGGCCUGAGAGGGUGACCGGCCACACGGGGACGGAGACACGGCCCAGACUCCUACGGGGGGCAGCAGUGGGGAAUAUUGCACAAUGGGCGAAAGCCUGAUGCAGCAACGCCGCGUGAGGGACGACGGCCUUCGGGUUGUAAACCUCUUUUAGUAGGGAAGAAGCGAAAGUGACGGUACCUGCAGAAAAAGCACCGGCUAACUUCGUGCCAGCCGCCGCCGUAAUAC